CAUCAUUUUUUUGGGGCCAUUAACACCGUAUUUGCUUUCCCAUUUCAUUUUACAAGCCCUAACGCCCUCUCUCCUUCCAUCACAGCUCUCUCUCCUUCUAUUACCGGUCAUCACAGCUCUCUUCCCUUCCAUCAGUCAGCGUUCCAAAACCCGAAUUUUAAUCAGAAACCAACACUCUAAAACUAGUGGCUUGGUUUAGAGAGACAAAGUCAUUACUACUGCACACACAGAGAGAGAAAGAGUCAUCGUUGGGGGUUUCCAAAACCUCGUCUACACUAACAGAUCGGAGCAGAAUUUUUUUAGGAGUGGUUCAGUUUUUUGAAUAUCUUGCAACUGAGCGUCUUCCUUGCUUUGCCUGUUCUCUGUCUUUAAUCUCUCGGCUUUCUUCAAGUAGACUCUUCCUUCGCAUCAUCAAGAGCACAAGUCAGGUAUGAUCGAGCGAGGGGAGUUGAAAUAGGAAAUAAGGACGUAAAUGUUGUUAGAAGGUCAAGUCUCAAGGUGGAGGAUCCGCAACUGGAGGACUUAUCCAUUCUUUCUGUUUAUUUAAAAGUCUUUUGAUCAAGUAAAUGCCCAGAUCCUUGACUGCUUGGGACAAUGUAAGUGACUGACUUAGUAGAUCAUAAAAUCAAGAUUGGGCACUGGACCAUUUCUUCUAUGAAGGAGAGCUUCUUAAGAUGAAACUAGAUAACUAUUCUGGGGCUGGAUUUCAAUCCAAAAGCAAGUAUUUGUUUGGGAAAGUAAAUAUUCAGACCAAGCUUGUAAAGGGUGACUUUGCAGGGACUGUCACUGCUUUCUAUUUUUCAAUGUGUUCGAUUAAAUGCUGAAGGGUAGCUUGGAGCGGUUGAAAACAAUGAGACAAAGAGAGAACUGAAAUCAAGGAGCAACUUGAUCCGAGGGCCAGGUUUGUGUUGUGCUGCUUAAGUUUGAUUAUUUCAUAAAAUAAUGCGAGUUUUCAAGAUGAGGUUGCUUUUGCCAUUUGGGUGUGUCAAUCAAUUGUUUAAUAUCCUGAAGAUUUUUCUUGCUUAGUAUCCUUGAGGUAUGAUUAUUAGUUUUUUCUAUUUUUAUUUUUAUGAUUAUCAAGAUGGAUUUACUUUUCCCAUGGAUAACAAAAUCCUUAAAUUGUUUUUGGAUUUCUUUACCAUUCUCGUCUAAAAAUUAAAGCUGUUGUACUCCAAUAUUCCAAUAGUUCAUACAUCAAAAGAAAUAUCCCGAAUUUCCUGGGAAAAGUUCAUAUAUUUAAUUUCUUAAAGUUCUCAUUUUCUCAACAAAAUUCAAAAGGAUCAUGAUUUUCCUUAUACAAGUAUUUUUAUUUGCAAGAUGAUUUUACUUCAAAAUUAAUUUUCACAACAUUUUUUCUACCUUUAAAAUGUUUUUUAAUGCCAAAAUCUGUCUGGUGGAUAUUUUUACUUCAUAUUCUUCUCACUACAUUCCUGAAUCGUGCCCAAGUUCAGUGUUGUUUGAUGGCAAAUUGUUUUUUGAACCCCAGAUUUGUUCCUAUGUUGGCAAGUUGGUAUCUUCACUACGAUUGUCUCUGUAAAUCCAAGUAUCUUGUAUUUUUUAAUUUGCGGUUGUAGGGAAGAGACUCAUCUUUUGAUUUGCUUGAUGAUAAAUAUUUGUAUACUUGGCCCCUAUCUUUCCUCCCCCUUUUUUGUUGUUUAAAUACCUCUAAAACUAGCUCAUAGUUAGGGUCCGAGGUUGUUUUUCAGCAAUAGCGGGACUUUAUCCCUUCUCCUACAUCAUCGUUCCUAAAUCAUGCCAUUUAUAUAAAUAACUGCAGUUUGCUGGCCUCUUGAAUCCUAUUCAUUUUUUUUUCUUCGUAUUGUUUGAACUAUUUCCUUAUAUUGUUUUGGUUUUAUGCAGUGAUGGGAUGAAUGGUUAUACAUCACUUUGUGCUGGAGACCCUUGCUCGCCUGUUGCAGGACUGGAAGAUAUUAUGGAUAAUUAAGUCAUUUGUGCUAUAUAUAGACUUCCAGAUGCUCAUAAACAUAUAGCUCGACAACCAGCCAGAGUUAUAUUCUCAUAAACAUGUUCUCUUUAUAUGGAGGUGUUGGGGACCUACUUCUUGAUAUUUAUUGGUUGUGCUGCGGUGGUGGUGAAUUGGAGAAGGACAAGGUGGUGACACUUCCGGGAAUAACAAUUGUUUGGGGACUGGCUGUGAUGGUCUUGUUUUGAGAAUGUUAUUACAUAAGUCUCCUUUGACGCAAAUUCUCAGGAUUUGAGACAUUAUAAAUUUUUUUUUUUCUUUUCAUGGGCCUGUUUUUGAGACAUAGCUCCACUCUAUAUCAAAUUUCAUUAUUGCACCGUAA